rnacentral:rRNA from 1 species
GACGGAGGGUGCUAGCGUUGUUCGGAAUGACUGGGCGUAAAGGGCGCGUAGGCGGCUCGUGAAGUCGGGUGUGAAAGCCCGGGGCUCAACCCCGGAACGGCAUCCGAUACUGGCGGGCUUGAGACCGGGAGAGGAGGUGGAAUACCCAGUGUAGAGGUGAAAUUCGUAGAUAUUGGGUGGAACACCGGUGGCGAAAGCGGCUCUCUGGCCCGGAUCUGACGCUGAGGCGCGAAAGCGUGGGGAGCAAACAGG